CGGUAAUACGGAGGGUGCGAGCGUUAAUCGGAAUAACUGGGCGUAAAGGGCACGCAGGCGGUGANUUAAGUGAGGUGUGAAAGCCCCGGGCUUAACCUGGGAAUUGCAUUUCAUACUGGGUCGCUAGAGUACUUUAGGGAGGGGUAGAAUUCCACGUGUAGCGGUGAAAUGCGUAGAGAUGUGGAGGAAUACCGAAGGCGAAGGCAGCCCCUUGGGAAUGUACUGACGCUCAUGUGCGAAAGCGUGGGGAGCAAACAGGAUUAGAUACCCUGGUAGUCCACGCUGUAAACGAUGUCGAUUUGGGGGUUGAGCUUUGAGCUUGGCGCCCGUAGCUAACGUGAUAAAUCGACCGCCUGGGGAGUACGGCCGCAAGGUUAAAACUCAAAUGAAUUGACGGGGGCCCGCACAAGCGGUGGAGCAUGUGGUUUAAUUCGAUGCAACGCGAAGAACCUUACCUACUCUUGACAUCCAGAGAACAUUC
rnacentral:rRNA from 1 species